AAUGCGGGGUACUUCCUUCAUGAGCACUGCACAUACACUCUCCCCAUCUCCUCCUGUCGUCUGUUCUUGCCCCUCUAUUGUACAUGUUUUUCCGCUGGAGGUUAAUGUGGAUUUGCUGAUGGAAGUGGUAGUUUGUGUUGAGUGGUUUAUCUAUGGGAUCGACUGACUAACUAACGCUGCGGACAGCUACAGCACCGACCACGACACUGGGAAGUGUCCUCUGCUCACUGUGGAAGCAGCAUGGAAGAACUGCAGCAACUCUGAUGGAAACGAGGACCCCUACGCUGUUGAACACAAACUGUUCUAGGCCUACUACAAACCGAGGCGGUCCUACUCGGUUAAAGAUCUCGUGGUCAAUGCGGCAGACCGCUGGACCUGGCUGGACGUCACCUUCUGCAGAUACUUCACUGCCCUCAGGAAUCCACGGAUAACUUGAAACAUGUCCGACUCCACAUGUCCGGAAAAUCCAGGAUGGAAGGAAGAAAGAGUUCUGUUUUUGCUCAACCCAUAACCCCACUGAGCCCUUCUGCUGAUACCUGUCUGACUGACCAUACUGACCGGGGGCCUGUUGUGUGUUUGGUUGGUGGUGUGGUAGAAGGUUUGCUGCUUGUGAUCUGCAAGGUGGUCCUGGGUUAGAUGCGGUGUCUGACUUGCACACCACUCUCCCAAUUCUAUUCUUCUCUUUACUACUUUUCUACUUUCAAUACACUUGCUGCUGCUGCUGUUGACCGCCGGUCGUGCAAUGUGUUUUUUAUUCGCCUAUGUUCUGUGGAUGAUCAUUACUGCCUGUUGGACGUUUUGCGUUUUUCACCAAUAGCUUCGGAACUAGACGGACCUCGUAUAUAAUUUGCUCUUCUAAGAUGCGGUCAGGCGCCCCUCCGUUAUAUAACGUUUUCUGCCCGGUACGAAAUAGACUGACCAAUCACAACCCUUUAUCUAAUGUGAGGUUGGAUAUAGGCAACAUGUAGAGGUGUUUCAACAACAAAGAUGUAAGUUAGUGAACUAAAGACUGCAUAUGUUCACUAAAAGAACGAACGACUACUCAAAGAUUUUGAGGAAUAUGUAUUUCUCCAUCACCCGUUCCAAUGCUAUGAUUAGUCGAGGCCUAUCCAAUGGCAUAGCCGUCGACCCAUUUUAGAUCGCGCCCUUUAGACACGCCCCUUGGAAAUUGAACAACGCAUUUCAACGCAGAGGAUCCAGAAGGAUUUCACAACGAGUCCAUUGGAAGAUAUCGAGGAACAUGAACAUCACCAAUGAAGGAGAGUAACGUUUCCACUUGCUAUAGGAAUUUAGUGAAGCACUAAAUGGUUAAUAAUAAUAAAAUGUGGUCACCAUUUAUUGACUCGUUGGGUGAGACUUGCUUUACUAAUAUAACCGCGUUAAAACUAUUAAUUUACUUUUCUUGUGUAGUUUCCCACUAUUCAUUAAAUGUUUUAUUGAAGUACAAAUGUGUAUAGUUCUAUUAAUUACAUUUUUAUAACAAUUAAUCAUUAUACAGGAUUUGAACAUUUUCUACCCAGGCUCAUGCUGCAUAAUGAGUCCCAAAUGAUUUAUGAACAGUGGUUUGUUUUUGUUCAGGAGCGGAUUGUACUCCCAGAGGCUUCAACAGAGCGGGUCUGGAGCUGGGAGCUGCAGGUGGAUGGUGGCCAGGAGCCGUUCAGUCCUACAGGAACAGACGGUAGAGGUGAUGGAGGCGCUCGCCGUGAGGACCGUGGCGGUCGUCUGGAGGUGCUCGUCUGGAGGUCCGUGGCGGUCGUCUGGAGUUGCUCGCCGUGAGGUCCAUGGCGGUCGUCUGGAGGCGCUCGCUGCAGGUGGAGGGAAGGCCGGGAGCCGUGCAGCCCAACGGAUGCAGAACGAAGGACUGAGGCGGAGGUCCUGGAGGCAGAGGCCAGCCUGGAGGCGGCGGUGGCCUGGAGGUCCUGGAGGCGUCCAACCUGGAAGGGGCGGCAUGGAGGGCCAGGUGGCGGCUCCUCAUCCA